rnacentral:rRNA from 1 species
GACGAACGCUGGCGGCGUGCUUAACACAUGCAAGUCGAACGGAAAGGCCCUGCUUUUGUGGGGUGCUCGAGUGGCGAACGGGUGAGUAACACGUGAGUAACCUGCCCUUGACUUUGGGAUAACUUCAGGAAACUGGGGCUAAUACCGGAUAGGAGCUCCUGCUGCAUGGUGGGGGUUGGAAAGUUUCGGCGGUUGGGGAUGGACUCGCGGCUUAUCAGCUUGUUGGUGGGGUAGUGGCUUACCAAGGCUUUGACGGGUAGCCGGCCUGAGAGGGUGACCGGCCACAUUGGGACUGGGAUACGGCCCAGACUCCUACGGGAGGCAGCAGUGGGGAAUAUUGCACAAUGGGCGGAAGCCUGAUGCAGCAACGCCGCGUGCGGGAUGACGGACUUCGGGUUGUAAACCGCUUUCGCCUGUGACGAAGCGUGAGUGACGGUAAUGGGUAAAGAAGCACCGGCUAACUACGUG